rnacentral:rRNA from 1 species
GGGUUGUCAUGCCAAUGGCACUGCCCGGUAGCUAAAUGCGGAAGAGAUAAGUGCUGAAAGCAUCUAAGCACGAAACUUGCCCCGAGAUGAGUUCUCCCUGACUCCUUGAGAGUCCUGAAGGAACGUUGAAGACGACGACGUUGAUAGGCCGGGUGUGUAAGCGCAGCGAUGCGUUGAGCUAACCGGUACUAAUGAACCGUGAGGCUUAACCUUACAACGCCGAAG